rnacentral:rRNA from 1 species
UACGAAGGGUGCAAGCGUUACUCGGAAUUACUGGGCGUAAAGCGUGCGUAGGUGGUUUGUUAAGUCUGUUGUGAAAGCCCCGGGCUCAACCUGGGAAUGGCAAUGGAUACUGGCAAGCUAGAGUGCGGUAGAGGGUAGUGGAAUUCCCGGUGUAGCGGUGAAAUGCGUAGAGAUCGGGAGGAAGACCAGUGGCGAAGGCGGGUCUCUGGACGAGUUCCUGACGCUUGAGG